GACGAACCGUACGAACGUUAUUCGGAAUUACUGGGCUUAAAGGGUGCGUAGGCGGCGCAGUAAGUUGGGUGUGAAAUCCCUCGGCUUAACCGAGGAAUUGCGCCCAAAACUACUGUGCUCGAGGGAGAUAGAGGUGAGCGGAACUUCCGGUGGAGCGGUGAAAUGUGUUGAUAUCGGAAGGAACGCCGGUGGCGAAAGCGACACACUGGAUCUUGUCUGACGCUGAGGCACGAAAGCCAGGGGAGCGAACGGG
rnacentral:rRNA from 1 species